ensembl:snoRNA SNORA70 Small nucleolar RNA SNORA70
CUGCAGCCAAUUAAACCUACUGAGUUCCUUUCCUUAUGGGGGCCCAGUGUGCAGUGGCUGCAAACAGCAGCCUCCUUGGUAGUGUAUGCAACCUGUUUCUCUAAGGGACCUUGGUGAUAGGC